rnacentral:rRNA from 1 species
AUGACACAAGGUUUCUGCGAUAAAUAUGAGAAACUUAUCCGGAACUUCUGGUGGGGAGAAGAAAAUGGGCAGAGGAAAGUCCACUGGAUGUCUUGGGAGAGAAUGAUCAAGCCUAAAAGAGGAGGGGGUAUCGGUUUUAGAGAUAUGAAACUCUUCAACCAAGCUUUGUUAGCGAGAAAAGCUUGGAGACUUAUUCAGUGGCCCGAUAGUCUAUGCGCGAGAGUGCUGAAAUCAAAAUACUAUCCUAAGGGGGAGCUGCUGGACACGGUUUUUGCUUCUGAUGCUUCUCCGGUUUGGCGAGGCAUUGAGCAUGGUCUCGAGCUCCUGAAGGAGGGCAUUGUUUGGAGGAUCGGAAAUGGGAGAAAGGUUAAUAUCCAGCGGGACCGGUGGAUCCCUCGUGAGAGUGGUCUGAAACCUGCUAACCUCAUUCGUCGAUCCAGAUUGUGUUGGGUGAAUCAAUUGAUGCUUGCAGAUGGAAGUGGAUGGAAUUCGGAACUGAUUCACCAGCUAUUUUAUGGUUUUGAUGCGGAUGCGAUAUGUAGCAUCAGGAUCCCGAAUUCGGCUGCGGAGGAUACUUUGGCGUGGAAUUGUGAGAAGUCUGGAGUUUUCACUGUCCGGAGUGCAUAUAAGUGGCGGCCUCUCUUCAAGAUCAGUCUGAGGGUGCGGCAUCGAGUUCUACGAACACAUCACACAACCGUAGCAUUUGGGACAUCAUCUGGAAGGCCAAGGUACCAGAAAAGAUCAAAAUCUUCGGGUGGAGGACGGCCACCAAUACGCUGCCGACCAAGCUGA